rnacentral:tRNA from 1 species
GCCGGGAUGGUCUUAUCGGUUAAGGCAUCGCCCCGAUAAGGCGAAGGCUGCGGGUUCAGUUCCCGCUCCUGGCC